CAGAGAAGCCAAAGACUUACAAAUCCUAGAAUAGCAAGUCUGAAACUGAGUGCCACAAGAGAAUUGUCAGGGUACUACAAGAGGUAAAUAAGUUAAGCAACUGGAAAGUUCACGUGGCAUAAAGGCUCCUUGAAGAUGGCCAGAACAACUAUUAAGGAAUUUUCCCAAUGUAGUUUCAGGUUCCUUAUCAUCUGGAUUGCUUCAAUGCUCUCCCUAAAAUGCAGAACUGGAUGCUACAUUGUAGAAAGAAGUCACAUAAAAUUACAGUCAAGCUCUACAGAACUCCCUGCUUGGAGAACUUUUCCUUUCUCAUUUCCUGCUCAACUGCUGCAGGACGCAAUCCUGUGGAGGAGUAGCCAGCUGGCUCCCUCAUCUCUUCAACACCAGUAGCUGCCUGAUGUGGAGGAACCGUGUUAAGCAGGGAUGGAGAUAAGAGGCCUGCCACACUCUCAGAGGCUGUUGGAUUCUUGGCCUCCCCCAUAUUCGUACUCCAGCCAAGGAAACCAAGCGCAACUCCAGAGGACAGCUGUGAAAAGGUCUCCUUGCUUGUGCUAAAAGCCUCGGGACAAUGAGACGGAGAAGGGAAUGCAAGGAAGUUUGGCGGAUGGAUAUCUUGGGGAUUGUCUACACUACUAAAGUUGUGGUUAUUUUGUUUU